ensembl:lincRNA
CAGUGCUGAAUAUAACAUAUAAUAUAAAAAUUAGAGUUAAAAGGCUAACUUUCCAUGCAGUGGCUAAAGGGAAAUUCUAAAGACUCCAAAUCAGUUUAUUUUCCAAUCUUUUCAUUUAAGUAAGAUUAGAAGCCAGAACUUUUAAGUCACUCACGAUGGUAAACCUCAGAGUGCCUUUCCCAUUCAGUGUUUUUCUUCUUUUUCUCCCAUAGGUUGAUCAUUCAUAGAAGAGCUGCUAUAACCACAUAGAGGAGGUGAAGACGUAACAUAAAGGUUUUGCCAUGCACUGAAAGAAAAGCAUUGUCUGUGAAGUUCUAUUUUUAAAAAUGUCUGCUUGUAACACCUUUACUGAACACGUUUGGAAACCGGGUGAAUGCAAGAAUUGCUUUAAGCCUAAAAGCUUACAUCAGCUCCCCCCAGACUCCGAGAAGGCAUCCACCACCCAUGGCAAUGUGAAAACGAAUGCCAAUCACAGUAACAACCACCGCAUCAGGAACACCGGAAAUUUCCGGCCUCCUGUGGCCAAAAAACCUACCAUAGCUGUGAAGCCCACUAUGAUGGUGGCAGAUGGGCAAAGUGUAUGUGGUGAGCUUAGCAUCCAAGAACACUGUGAGAACAAACCUGUCAUCAUGGGGUGGAACCGAAACAGAGCUGCUUUGAGUCAGAAACCACUUAACAAUAAUAAUGAAAAUGAUAUUGAAGGAUUUAGCCAUGUUCCUAAGCCUUAUGACAAUAAUGAUAGCGCAAAGAAGGUAUCAAAUAAUAAUAAUGGACUAACUGAAGUGUUAAAGGAGAUAGCAGGCCUGGAUACCACCCCUCAGAUAGGAGGAAAUGAAACAAACUCCAGAGAAACCUUCUUAGGAAGAAUAAAUGAUUGCUACAAACGCUCACUGGAAAGAAAGCUCCCACCAAGCUGUAUGAUGGGUGGGAUAAAGGACUCUCAGGGCAAGCAUGUCAUUCUGAGUGGGAGCACGGAAGUCAUCAGCAAUGAAGGAGGCCGCUUCUGCUACCCAGAGUUCUCUAGUGGUGAGGAAAGUGAGGAAGACGUUCUUUUCAGCAACAUGGAGGGGGAGCAUGAGAGCUGGGAUGAGAGUGAUGAGGAGCUGCUGGCCAUGGAGAUCCGCAUGAGAGGGCAGCCUCGCUUUGCUAACUUCAGGGCAAACACUUUGUCUCCUGUGCGAUUCUUUGUGGACAAAAAAUGGAAUACCAUCCCCCUACGAAAUAAGUCACUGCAGAGAAUUUGUGCCGUGGACUAUGAUGACAGCUAUGAUGAGAUUCUGAAUGGAUACAAUGAAAAUUCUGCAGUCUCCUGUGGACAAGGAAGCGUUCAGAGCAUGGUGUCCUCGGACUCCACAUCACCUGAUUCUUCUUUAACAGAAGAAUCACGUUCUGAGACAGCUAGUAGUUUAUCCCAGAAAAUUUGUAAUGCAGGGGUGUCUCCUGGUAACCCUGGAGAGUCUGAGGACAUAAAGGAAAAUUAUGAAAGUCUCUCUGGUAGUAAUCAGGAAAAGGACUUGCCACAGGCCUCCAAAAGCUCUGUAAAAGUACCAGAGACACACAAAGCAGUCCUUGCUCUUCGAUUAGAAGAGAAGGAUGGCAAGAUUGCUGUACAAACUGAGAAGCAAGAAAGCAAAGCCUCUACAGAUAUUGCUGGGCAAGCAGUCACCAUAAACCUCGUCCCUGUAGAAGAGCAAGCGAAGCCCUACCGAGUUGUAAAUCUGGAACAGCCAUUGUGCAAGCCAUAUACUGUUGUGGAUGUGUCAGCAGCCAUGGCCAGUGAGCACCUUGAGAGUGCUGUCAGCAGCCCUAAGACCAAAAGCUCAUCCUCCACUCCAAACUCUCCAGUAACGUCACCUGCAUUGACACCAGGACAAAUAAGCGCCCAUUUCCAAAAAUCCAGUGCAAUCCGAUACCAGGAAGUGUGGACUUCCAGCACCAGUCCACGACAAAAGAUUCCUAAAGUGGAAUUAAUUACUGGCGGAAGUGGACUAAAUGUCCCUCCAAGGAAAAACUGUCACAAAUCAGCACCAACUUCACCCACAGCUACAAACAUAUCCUCCAAAACUAUCCCUGUUAAGUCGCCCAAUUUGUCUGAAAUAAAAUUUAACAGUUACAACAAUGCUGGUAUGCCACCUUUUCCAAUUAUCAUUCAUGAUGAGCCAACUUAUGCCCGGAGUUCCAAAAAUGCUAUUAAAGUUCCCAUUGUUAUUAAUCCAAAUGCCUAUGACAAUCUAGCCAUCUACAGAAGUUUUCUGGGAACCAGUGGAGAACUCUCGGUGAAGGAAAAAACCACAAGUGUAAUAAGCCAUACUUACGAAGAAAUAGAGACUGAAAGCCAAGCGUCUGAUAACACCACUAGCAAACCCACUGAAAGUCCCCAGGCUAAAGGGUUUUCAAACAGUGCAGAGCGCAAAAAGGGCUCAGUGGCUCAGAAGGUUCAGGAGUUUAACAGCUGUCUCAACAGAGGUCAGGCUUCGCCACAGAGAAACUAUAGUUCCAGCCACAGCUCCCCAGCCAAAAUCCAGAGAACCACUCAAGAGCCUGUGUCCAAAACAGAAGGCACACAGGAGUCUCAAAUGCCAGGCAGCACUGGCAGCACCAGGGAGAAGGCAAGCACCGUGCUCUCACAGAUUGUAGCUUCUAUCCAGCCCCCCCAGUCUCCUCCAGAAACACCCCAGUCUGGCCCUAAGGCUUGCAGUGUGGAAGAGCUUUAUGCCAUCCCUCCCGAUGCGAAUGCUGUCAAGAACAUACCUAAGAGCACAGCAGUCCGGCCCAAGUCUCUCUUUACAUCUCAGCCUGGAGUUGAGGCCGAAGCACCACAGACCACAGAAAGUCCCAGCACCAAAGUUCAGAAAGACCUAUUUGCAAAGCCUGUCGCCUCUCCUACAUCCAAAUUAGUGACCAGCCCCCAAAGUGAGCCACCGCCUCCCUUCCCCCCACCACGGUCCACUUCCUCCCCUUACCAUGCAAGUAACCUUCUGCAGAGGCAUUUCACCAACUGGACCAAGCCAACUAGCCCCACCAGAUCCACAGAAGCUGAAUCUGUUUUGCACUCCGAAGGCAGCAGGCGGGCAGCAGAGGCAAAGCCUAAACGCUGGAUAUCAUUUAAAAGUUUCUUCCGCCGCCGGAAAACAGAUGAGGAGGAUGACAAAGAGAAAGAGCGAGAGAAAGGAAAACUGGUGGGCCUGGAUGGCACGGUCAUCCACAUGCUUCCUCCUCCUCCCGUUCAGCGCCAUCAUUGGUUUACAGAGGCAAAAGGAGAGUCUAGUGAGAAGCCAUCCAUUGUCUUCAUGUACAGGUGUGACCCUGCCCAAGGCCAGCUCAGCGUGGAACAAAGCAAGGUCGGGGCUGAGCAGACUGCAGGCACAGAGAAGGAUAGAACAGAGGGUGUGUCGCUGCAGGACUCAGAGAAGAAGAAAAAUAGUCAUUCUUCUCCAUCACAGAUUCCUGAAAAAGUUCCCAGUCAUGUGACCCAUGAAUUGGUGGAGAAGUUUUCUCCUCGGGAUCCAAGACCUCUUGCAAAGCAAGAUGAUGGGGGCUGCACCUCUAUAUCACCAGCACUGCCACCACCUGACUCGGAAAAAGAAGAGGAAAAAGAAGAUAUGUCAGAGCCUAUGGACCCAAACCCCUGUAGUGCAACAUAUAGCAAUUUAGGGCAAUCCAGAGCAGCAAUGAUACCCCCCAAGCAUCCACGGCAGCCCAAGGGAGCUCUGGACGAUGCCAUCGCCUUUGGAGGGAAAACAGACCAAGAAGUACCGAAUGUUUCCCAACCCACGCCACCCCCACUGCCAAAGAAAAUGAUCAUAAGAGCCAAUACAGAGCCAAUCUCCAAAGACCUCCAGAAAUCCAUGGAAAGUAGCCUUUGUGUCAUGGCUAAUCCUACCUAUGAUAUUGAUCCUAACUGGGACGCCAGCAGUGCUGGCUCUUCCAUUAGCUAUGAGCUCAAAGGACUAGACAUUGAGUCCUGUGACUCCUUGGAGAGACCUCUGCACAAGGAGAGACCUGUCCCUUCUGCUGCAAACAGCAUCUCCAGUUUAACCACUCUCAGUAUUAAGGACAGGUUUUCUAACAGCAUGGAGUCCCUGACCAGCCGACGUGGUCCCUCUUGCAGACAGGGCCGAAGCAUUCAGAAGCCACAGAGACAAGCACUUUAUCGAGGACUUGAAAAUCGGGAGGAAGUAGUGGGUAAAAUCCGAAGCCUUCAUACAGAUGCCUUGAAGAAACUGGCUGUUAAAUGUGAAGACCUCUUCAUGGCCGGACAGAAAGACCAGCUCCGCUUUGGGGUCGACAGCUGGUCAGACUUUAGGCUAACCAGCGACAAACCAUGUUGUGAAGCAGGUGAUGCAGUUUACUACACUGCUUCGUAUGCAAAAGAUCCACUUAAUAACUAUGCAGUCAAGGCUGCUGGUUGGGAGUGAUCCAUUUCCUGGCUGCCUACAUGGUAAC